rnacentral:rRNA from 1 species
UACGUAGGGUGCGAGCGUUGUCCGGAAUUAUUGGGCGUAAAGAGCUCGUAGGCGGUGUGUCGCGUCGGCCGUGAAAACCUGCAGCUUAACUGUGGGCUUGCGGUCGAUACGGGCAUCACUGGAGUUCGGCAGGGGAGACUGGAAUCCUGGUGUAGCGGUGAAAUGCGCAGAUAUCAGGAGGAACACCGGUGGCGAAGGCGGGUCUCUGGGCCGAUACUGACGCUGAGGAGCGAAAGCGUGGGGAGCGAACAGG